rnacentral:rRNA from 1 species
CCUACGGGGGGCUGCAGUAGGGAAUAUUGCUCAAUGGGGGAAACCCUGAAGCAGCAACGCCGCGUGGAGGAUGAAGGUUUUAGGAUUGUAAACUCCUUUUGUGAGCGAAGAUAAUGACGGUAUCUCACGAAUAAGCACCGGCUAACUCCGUGACAGCAGCCGCGGUAAUACGGAGGGUGCAAGCGUUACUCGGAAUCACUGGGCGUAAAGAGUGCGCAGGCGGGCUUGUAAGUGAGAGGUGAAAUCCUGUAGCUUAACUACAGAACUGCAGGUGAAACUGGGAGUCUAGAGUGUGGGAGAGGUAGGUGGAAGUCUUGGUGUAGGGGUAAAAUGCGUAGAUAUCAAGAGGAAUACUGAUUGCGAAGGCAGCCUACUGGAACAUUACUGACGCUCAUGCACGAAAGCGUGGGGAGCAAACAGGAUUAGAUACCCGGGUAGUC